AAUGUGAAAUUUUGGAAAAUUCUAGGGGUCAUUUGACCUUUUGAAGACAUUUAAGUGAUUUUCUAGCCAUUUAAUGACCGUAAUUCAAAUUUGAACUACAUCUACAUGCAACGGCUACCAUAACGGUUUGAAAAAUCAUAUUUGUGUACUUGUGUGCAUGUUAACUCCAUGUGCAGUAAAUUAGAAGGAAUUUUCAAACAUAUUUGUCUCACGACAUGGACACAUCAUAUGUAUGCAUGGAGUGACGUGGCAUUUUAAUUCCAAAAAAUUAAAAAAAAUCAGAAACACAUGAAACCUUGGUUGAUGUAAUGUCAUGCCACCAAGAUGACGUGGUAAAAAAUUGGCAUGUUUGACGAAACUUUGGACACACACCCCUCACAAACCGGAGCAACUCGCUAGAAGGCUCGUGGUUCCGAGAGGGAACAAUGCAUAUUUGAUGAUGAGCGGGAGAUAGCUUCCUCUUGCGGCCUUUAAUUUUUCUCUACGUUUAACAUAUACUAUUACAACUGUAAUGUGAAAUUUUGGAAAAUUCUAGGGGUCAUUUGACGUUUUAAAGACAUUUAAGUUAUUUUCUAGCCAUUUAAUGACCGUAAUUCAAAUUUGAACUACAUCUACAUGCAACAGCUAACCAUAACAAUUUGAAAAAUCAUAUUUGUGUACUUGUGUGCGACUUAAUUCAAUGUGUAGUAAGGAAUUUUCAAACAUAUUUGUUUCAUGACAUGGACACAUCAUAUGUAUGCAUUGAGUGCCAUCGCCUUUUAAUUCGAAAAUUUUAAAAAAAUAUCAGAAACACAUGAAACCUUGGUUGAUGUAAUGUCAUGCCACCAAGAUGAUGUGGUAAAAAAUUGGCAUGUUUGACGAAACUUUGGACACACCCCUCACAAACCGGAGCAACUCACUAGAAGGCUCGUGGUUCCGAGAGGGAACAAUGCAUGUUUGAUGACGAGCAGGAGAUAGCUUCCUCUUAUGGCCUUUCAUUUUUUUCUACGUUUAACGUGCACUAUUACAACUGUAAUGUGAAAUUUUGGAAAAUUCUAGGGGUCAUUUGACCUUCUAAAGACAUUUAAGUGAUUUUCUAGCCAUUUAAUGACCGUAAUUCAAAUUUGAACUACAUCUACAUGCAACGGCUAACCAUAACGGUUUGAAAAAUCAUAUUUGUGUACUUGUGUGCGAGUUAAUUCCAUGUGCAGUAAAUUAGAAGGAAUUUUCAAACAUAUUUGUCUCACGACAUGGACACAUGCAUAUGUAUGCAUGGAGUGACAUGGCAUUUUAAUUCCAAAAAAUAUCAGAAACACAUGAAACCUUGGUUGAUGUAAUGUCAUGACACCAAGAUGAUGUGGUAAAACAAUUGGCAUGUUUGACGAAACUUUGGACACACACCCCUCACAAACCGGAGCAACUCACUAGAAGGCUCGUGGUUCCGAGUGGGAACAAUGCAUGUUUGAUCACGAGCGGGAGAUAGCUUCCUCUUACGGCCUUUAAUUUUUUUCUACGUUUAACAUGCACUAUUACAACUGUAAUGUGAAAUUUUGGAAAAUCUAGGGGUCAUUUGACCUUUUGAAGACAUUUAAGUGAUUUUCUAGCCAUUUAAUGACCGUAAUUCAAAUUUGAACUACAUCUACAUGCAACGGCUAACCAUAACGGUUUGAAAAAUCAUAUAUGUGUACUUGUGUGCGAGUUAAUUCCAUGUGCAGUAAAUUAGAAGGAAUUUUCAAACAUAUUUGUCUCACGACAUGGACACAUCAUAUGUAUGCAUGGAGUGAUGUGGCAUUUUAAUUCCAAAAAUUUAAAAAAAAUCAGAAACACUUGAAACCUUGGUUGAUGUAAUGUCAUGCCACCAAGAUGAUGUGGUAAAAAAAUUGGCAUGUUUGACGAAACUUUGGACACACACCCCUCACAAACCGGAGCAACUCGCUAGAAGGCUCGUGGUUCCGAGAGGGAACAAUGCAUAUUUGAUGACGAGCGGGAGAUAGCUUCCUCUUACGGCCUUUAAUUUUUUUCUACGUUUAACGUGCACUAUUACAAUUGUAAUGUGAAAUUUUGUAAAAUUCUAGGGGUCAUUUGACCUUCUAAAGACAUUUAAGUGAUUUUCUAGCCAUUUAAUGACCGUAAUUCAAAUUUGAACUACAUCUACAUGCAACGGCUAACCAUAACAACUUGAAAAAUCAUAUUUGUGUACUUGUGUGUGACUUAAUUCAAUGUGUAGUAAGGAAUUUUCAAACAUAUUUGUUUCAUGACAUGGACACAUCAUAUGUAUGCAUUGAGUGACAUGGCCUUUUAAUUCGAAAAUUUUAAAAAAAUAUCAGAAACACAUGAAACCUUGGUUGAUGUAAUGUCAUGCCACCAAGAUGAUGUGGUAAAAAAAUUGGCAUGUUUGACGAAACUUUGGACACACCCCUCACAAACCGGAGCAACUCACUAGAAGGCUCGUGGUUCCGAGAGGGAACAAUGCAUGUUUGAUGACGAGCAGGAGAUAGCUUCCUCUUAUGGCCUUUCAUUUUUUUUCUACGUUUAACGUGCACUAUUACAACUGUAAUGUGAAAUUUUGGAAAAUUCUAGGGGUCAUUUGACCUUCUAAACACAUGUAUGUGAUUUUCUAGCCAUUUAAUGACCGUAAUUCAAAUUUGAACUACAUCUACAUGCAACGGCUAACCAUAACGGUUUGAAAAAUCAUAUAUGUGUACUUGUGUGCGAGUUAAUUCCAAGUGCAGUAAAUUAGAAGGAAUUUUCAAACAUAUUUGUCUCACGACAUGGACACAUCAUAUGUAUGCAUGGAGUGAUGUGGCAUUUUAAUUCCAAAAAUUUAAAAAAAUCAGAAACACUUGAAACCUUGGUUGAUGUAAUGUCAUGCCACCAAGAUGAUGUGGUAAAAAAAUUGGCAUGUUUGACGAAACUUUGGAC
rnacentral:lncRNA from 1 species